rnacentral:tRNA from 1 species
GGGCUUGUAGCUCAGUUGGUAGAGCGGUCGCUUUACACGCGACAGGCCUCUGGUUCGAGUCCAGACAAGCCCA